UGUGAGCUUCUGCAAAUGAUGAGAGCC
rnacentral:piRNA from 1 species